rnacentral:tRNA from 1 species
GGACUCGUAGCUCAGGGGUAGAGCGUCUCUUUGACGUAGAGAAGGCCAGAGGUUCAAAUCCUCUCGGGUCCA